rnacentral:rRNA from 1 species
CAGCAGCCGCGGUAAUACGUAGGGUGCGAGCGUUAAUCGGAAUUACUGGGCGUAAAGCGUGCGCAGGCGGUUCGUUAAGACAGAUGUGAAAUCCCCGGGCUUAACCUGGGAACUGCAUUUGUGACUGGCGAGCUAGAGUAUGGCAGAGGGGGGUAGAAUUCCACGUGUAGCGGUGAAAUGCGUAGAGAUCUGGAGGAAUACCUGUGGCGAAGGCGGCCCCCUGGACGAAGACUGACGCUCAGGUACGAAAGCGUGGGGAGCAAACAGGAUUAGAUACCCCUGUAGUCCCUGUCUCUUAUAC